AGGAGAAUGCCAUACAUGUGUGUAGCCGCCAGGUGGCCAGGGCCAUUACCAGGAACCCUGAGAGGGCAGACACCACCCUACGCUCUAAGCAGACCACCAACGAGGAGUGCUCAGGGGUCGUAUGUGUCAAGUAUUUCGAAGAUCAGGAAAGCCCUAGGCCUAAAGGAAUGGAUGCUGGGAAGGACGCCCAGUCCCUUGUGUGGUUUUCACCGGAGUCUUGCCCAUCUGUGCCCAGCUCAGGAUAGAAACCCGCCAAGAGAAUGAGCCAGGCGGCUCCCACACUGUCGUUGAGCUUGCCACUCCCAGAGGACAGGAGGCCGAGGCUGCCAAGAGGCUUCUGAAUGGCUGGUCAGUAGGAAUGUGCCUACCCUGUGAAACAGUUCCUAGGAGCCAUGGUGGCACCUACAGGAGGUGCUGUCCAAACCACCAUGUUACCUUGGCAGCGAUGAGGAGAGAGAGAAAAGCCAAAUCCCCAAGCUAUAGGUCAGCUGAAACUGGCUUGUUUGGGCUGCUUCUCCUGGGGAGGUCAGAUAGGCAACAUGGUCUUGAGGCAGGAGACAAUGGCCCAAGGCUUUCCUCCCAUGGCAGCCCCAAACUCCUUGCAACUGGCUAUGUACAUCACCUGCCAUAGGCUUCUCUGGCAGCUACUUGUUUUGGCUAUAGUUGCUGUCCUUAGUGGAUCUAUCCCAGCUGAUCUGCCCUGCAUCCUCUCUAGAUGAUUCUGCCCUUGCAGCCAUCCUCCAUUAUGCCAAGGGCAGCCCCCCCCCCCAUGACACGAAGUCUGACACUGCUCAUGUGCAAACCCAUCUCUUUUCCUGUACUGAUAAGCUUUCCAUAUUCUUGGUGGAUUCAGCCUAUGUGCUAUUUGUUUGUUUUUGAGGCAGAGUCUCCCUUUAUAUUCCAGGAUGGCCUUGAACUCACUGUGUAGCCCAGGCUGGCCUCAAAUUCACAUUGCUCCUCCUACUUCAGCCUCCUGAUAAUAGGUGGAUAAUAGGUGUAAGCAACCAUGCUUGGCUGUGCUGUUCAUCUUCAUGCUGUAGCAUAUAUCCUAAUAAAGCCUCUUUCUGGAUGG